CACUAAAAAAUAUAUUAAUAGUCUCCAAAAGCAAUAAUAAAGUCUGUGUAAUAAACCAGGUCUAAAUCUAUUUAGCCAAAAGAUCACAUGACCUGGGACUUAUAGAGCUGUAAUGCUCAUAAUUACAGUAUAAAAUACAUGAAAAAUUCACAAAACAUAUUAAUUGUGUCCAAAUGUUCAUUCAAUGUUUCUAAGUGUGACAAAGAAUCUAUGAACUACAAAUCCCUAUAUUUAAGUGCCGUAAUGUAUCAUAACAUAAUGUAACAUAACGUCACAUCAGGUCUUUGGUCUUCCUUUUUCUGCCUCACGUAAGUUAACCGAUAAUUAUCAAUGAAAUAAAUAUCCAAUCGACUGAGCCCGUAACAGACGUGCUGCUCAAUAUUCAGAACACCAUUUGGAGUCAGAGUUGUGCGAUGGGUCGUUUGAAAAAAGGCAGAAGUAUCGCUCAGUGGGAAGAGUGGAUGGUUGGCACCCGGGUGGCCGGGGCUCGAUUCCAGGUGUGAGUGAGUGAGAUAGGCAUAGGGAGUAUAGGAGUGAGUGAGUGUGAUGAGUAUAGGAGUGAGUGAGAUAGGCAUAGGGAGUAUAGCUCAGUAUGUGAGUGAGAUAGGCAUAAGGAGUAUUGCUCAGUGGGUAGAGUGGCUGGCUGGGACCCGGGAGACCGGGGUUCGAUUCCAGGUGUGAGUGAGAUAGGCAUAGGGAGUAUAGGAGUGAGUGAAAUAGGCAUAGGGAGUAUAGUUCAGUGGGGAGAGUGGCUGGCUGCCACUCGGGAGGCAGGGGUUCAACUCCAGGUGUGAGUGAGAUAGACAUAGGGAAUACAGCAGUGAGUGAGUUAGAAAGGCACAGGGAGUAUAGGAGUGAGUGAGUGAGUGAGAUGAGUAAAGGAGUGAGUGAAAUAGGCAUAGAGAGUAAAGCUCAGUGGGUAGAGUGGCUGGCUGGCACCCGGGAGGCCGGGGUUCGAUUCCAGGUGUGAGUGAGAUAGGCAUAGGGAGUAUAGGAGUGAGUGAAAUAGGCAUAGGGAGUAUAGGAUUGAGUGAGAUAGGCAAAGGGAGUAUAGCUCAGUGGGUAGAGUGGCUGGCUGGCACCCAGGAGGCCGGGGUUCGAUUCCAGGAGUGAGUGAAAUAGGCAUAGGGAGUAUAGGAUUGAGUGAGAUAGGCAUAGGGAGUAUAGCUCAGUGGGUAGAGUGGCUGGCUGGCACCCAGGAGGCCGGGGUUCGAUUCCAGGAGUGAGUGAGAUCGGCAUAGGGAGUAUGGGAGUGAGUGAGAUAGGCAUAGGGAGUAUAGGAGUGAGUGAGUGAGAUGAGUAAAGGAGUGAGUGAAAUAGGCAUAGAGAGUAUAGCUCAGUGGGUAGAGCGGCUGGCUGGCACCCGGGAGGCCGGGGUUCGAUUCCAGGUGUGAGUGAGAUAGGCAUAGGGAGUAAAGGAGUGAGUAAGUGAGAUAAGCAUAGGGAGUAUAGCUCAGUGGGUAGAGGGGCUGGCUGCCACCCGGGAGGCAGGGGUUCAAAUCCAGGUGUGAGUGAAAUAGACAUAGGGAGUAUAGCAGUGAGUGAGUUAGAAAGGCACAGGGAGUAUUGGAGUGAGUGAGAUGAGUAUAGGAUUGAGUGAAAUUGGCAUAGGGAGUAUAGCUCAGUGGGCAGGCACAGGGAGUAUUGGAGUGAGUGAGUGAGAUGAGUAUAGGAUUGAGUGAAAUUGGCAUAGGGAGUAUAGCUCAGUGGGUAGAGUGGCUGGCUGGCACCCGGGAGGCCGGGGUUCGAUUCCAGGUGUGAGCGAGAUAGGCAAAGGGAGUAUAGGAGUGAGUGAGAUAGGCAUAGGGAGUAUCGAAGUGAGUGAGUGAGAUUACUAUAGGAGUGAGUGAAAUAAGCAUAGGGAGUAUAGCUCAGUGGGUUGAGUGGCUGGCUGGCACCCGGGAGGCAGGGGUUCGAUUCCAGGUGUGAGUGAGAUAGGCAUAGGGAGUAAAGGAGUGAAUAAGUGAGAUAAGCAUAGGGAGUAUAGCUCAGUGGGUAGAGUGGCUGGCUGGCACCCAGGAGGCCGGGGUUCGAUUCCAGGAGUGAGUGAGAUCGGCAUAGGGAGUAUGGGAGUGAGUGAGAUAGGCAUAGGGAGUAAAGGAGUGAGUGAGUGAGAUGAGUAAAGGAGUGAGUGAAAUAGGCAUAGAGAGUAUAGCUCAGUGGGUAGAGCGGCUGGCUGCCACCCGGGAGGCAGGGGUUCAAAUCCAGGUGUGAGUGAAAUAGACAUAGGGAGUAUAGCAGUGAGUGAGUUAGAAAGGCACAGGGAGUAUCGGAGUGAGUGAGUGAGAUAGGCAUCGGGAGUAUUGGAGUGAGUGAGUGAGAUGAGUAUAGGAUUGAGUGAAAUUGGCAUAGGGAGUAUAGCUCAGUGGGUAGAGUGGCUGGCUGGCACCCGGGAGGCCGGGGUUCGAUUCCAGGUGUGAGCGAGAUAGGCAAAGGGAGUAUAGGAGUAAGUGAGAUAGGCAUAGGGAGUAUCGAAGUGAGUGAGUGAGAUUAGUAUAGGAGUGAGUGAAAUAAGCAUAGGUUAAUAAGUAUAGCUCAGUGGGUUGAGUGGCUGGCUGGCACCUGGGAGGCAGGGGUUCGAUUCCAGGUGUGAGUGAGAUAAGCAGAGGGAGUAUAGGAGUGAGUGAAAUAGGCAUAGGGAGUAUAGGAUUGAGUGAGACAGGCAUGGGGAGUAUAGCUCAGUGGGUUGAGUGGCUGGCUGGAACCCAGGAGGCCGGGGUUCGAUUCCAGGUGUGAGUGAGUGAGAUGAGUAUGGGAGUGAGUGAGAUCGGCAUAGGGAGUAUGGGAGUGAGUGAGAUUGGCAUAGGGAGUAUAGCAGUGAGUGAGUGAGAUGAGUAAAGGAGUGAGUGAAAUAGGCAUAGGGAGUAUAGCUCAGUGGGUAGAGCGGCUGGCUGGCACCCGGGAGGCCGGGGUUCGAUUCCAGGUGUGAGUGAGAUAGGCAUAGGGAGUAAAGGAGUGAAUAAGUGAGAUAAGCACAGGGAGCAUAGCUCAGUGGGUAGAGUGGCUGGCUGGAACCCAGGAGGCCGGGGUUCGAUUCCAGGUGUGAGUGAGUGAGAUAGGCAUAGGGAGUAAAGGAGUGAGUGACUGAGUGAGAUAAGCAUAGGGAGUAUAGGAGUGAGUGAGUGAGUGAGUGAAAUAGGCAUAGGGAGUAUAGGAGUGAGUGAGUGAGAUGAGUAAAGGAGUGAGUGAAAUAGGCAUAGGGAGUAUUGGAUUGAGUGAGAUAGGCAUAGGGAGUAUAGCUCAGUGGGUAGAGUGGCUGGCUGGCACCCAGGAGGCCGGGGUUCGAUUCCAGGUGUGAGUGAGAUAGGCAUAGGGAGUAAAGGAGUGAAUAAGUGAGAUAAGCAUUGAGAGUAUAGCUCAGUGGGUAGAGUGGCUGGCUGGCACCCAGGAGGCCGGGGUUCGAUUCCAGGUGUGAGUGAGUGAGUGAGAUAGGCAUAGGGAGUAUAGCUCGCUGGGUGAGUGAGAUAGGCAUCGGGAGUAAAGGAGUGAGUGAGUGAGAUGAGUAUAGGAGUGAGUGAGUGAGAUAGGCAGAGGGAGUAUAGGAGUGAGUGAAAUAGGCAUAGGGAGUAUAGGAUUGAGUGAGAUAGGCAUAGGGAGUGUAGCUCAGUGGGUAGAGUGGCUGGCUGGCACCCAGGAGGCCGGGGUUCGAUUCCAGGUGUGAGUGAGUGAGAUAGGCAUAGGGAGUAUAGAAGUGAGUGAGUGAGUGAGAUGAGUAUAGGAGUGAGUGAGAUAGGCAUAGGGAGUAUAGCUCAGUGGGUAGAGUGGCUGGCUGGCACCCAGGAGGCCGGGGUUCGAUUCCAGGUGUGAGUGAGAUAGGCAUAGGGAGUAUAGCUCGCUGGGUGAGUGAGAUAGGCAUAGGGAGUAAAGGAGUGAGUGAGUGAGAUGAGUAAAGGACUGAGUGAAAUAAGCAUAGGGAGUAUAGCUCAGUGGGUUGAGUGGCUGGCUGGCACCCGGGAGGCCGGGGUUCGAUUCCAGGUGUGAGUGAGAUAGGCAUAGGGAGUAAAGGAGUGAAUAAGUGAGAUAAGCACAGGGAGCAUAGCUCAGUGGGUAGAGUGGCUGGCUGGCACCCAGGAGGCCGGGGUUCGAUUCCAGGUGUGAGUGAGUGAGAUAGGCAUAGGGAGUAAAGGAGUGAGUGACUGAGUGAGAUAAGCAUAGGGAGUAUAGGAGUGAGUGAGUGAGAUAGGCAAAGGGAGUAUAGGAGUGAGUGAAAUAGGCAUAGGAAGUAUAGGAUUGAGUGAGAUAGGCAUAGGGAGUAUAGCUCAGUGGGUUGAGUGGCUGGCUGGCACCCAGGAGGCCGGGGUUCGAUUCCAGGUGUGAGUGAGUGAGAUGAGUAUGGGAGUGAGUGAGAUCGGCAUAGGGAGUAUGGGAGUGAGUGAGAUAGGCAUAGAGAGUAUAGCUCAGUGGGUAGAGCGGCUGGCUGGCACCCGGGAGGCCGGGGUUCGAUUCCAGGUGUGAGUGAGAUAGGCAUAGGGAGUAUAGCAGUGAGUGAGUGAGAUGAGUAUAGGAGUGAGUGAAAUAGGCAUAGGGAGUAUAGCUCAGUGGGUAGAGUGGCUGGCUGGCACCCAGGAGGCUGGGGUUCUGUUCCAGGUGUGAGUGAGAUGAGUAUGGGAGUGAG